UGUCUCCUCUGAAAUACAGUCCAUCCACCACCAUCAGUCUCCAUAUCACAAUAAACCUGUUAAUGGAAUAUAUAUAGUUUAUUAAAGUGGGAGUCAUUUUGUAUACUUGAAAAGUCUGCUCCAAUGGAUGCUACCCUCCCCUGGGAUCAAAUGAAGCUCAUAUUACAAAGAUACGAAGAAGACAUGAAGCAGCUGAUAGUGGAUCCCUGUCCCUCAUGCAUCGUACCAGUCCCUCAGAUAUGCAUUGGUGGGCAUGA